rnacentral:rRNA from 1 species
GGUUAAGCGAAUAAGCGUACACGGUGGAUGCCUAGGCAGUCAGAGGCGAUGAAGGACGUGCUAAUCUGCGAUAAGCGCCGGUAAGGUGAUAUGAACCGUUAUAACCGGCGAUUUCCGAAUGGGGAAACCCAGUGUGAUUCGUCACACUAUCAUUACCUGAAUACAUAGGGUAAUGAAGCGAACCGGGAGAACUGAAACAUCUAAGUACCCCGAGGAAAAGAAAUCAAACGAGAUUCCCCCAGUAGCGGCGAGCGAACGGGGAGCAGCCCAGGACCUUAAUCAG